GGAGGUAUGACAGAGCGGCCGAAUGUACUGGUCUUGAAAACCAGCGUUGGGAAACCAACCCAGGGUUCAAAUCCCUGUGCCUCCGCCA
rnacentral:tRNA from 1 species